rnacentral:rRNA from 1 species
CUACGAAGGGGGCUAGCGUUGUUCGGAAUUACUGGGCGUAAAGCGCGCGUAGGCGGAUUGGUCAGUUAGGGGUGAAAUCCCAGGGCUUAACCCUGGAACUGCCUCUAAUACUGCCAGUCUUGAGUUCGGGAGAGGUGAGUGGAAUUCCUAGUGUAGAGGUGAAAUUCGUAGAUAUUAGGAAGAACACCAGUGGCGAAGGCGGCUCACUGGCCCGAUACUGACGCUGAGGCGCGAAAGCGUGGGGAGCAAACAGGAUUAGAUACCCUAGUAGUCC